rnacentral:rRNA from 1 species
CUGAAACUCGCCUCUUUGAAGUCGGAAUCGCUAGUAAUCGCAGAUCAGCAUGUUGCGGUGAAUACGUUCCCGGGUCUUGUACACACCGCCCGUCAAACCAUGAGAGUCACCAACACCCGAAGUCCGCUUUGGCGGCCUAAGGUGGGGGAGAUGAUUGGGGUUAAGUCGUAACAAGGUAAC